CAGAGAAUAGUUUAUUAAAAUAUUAAUUUUGGAGAUUAAUGAUAAGGAGUAAUCCUUUUCUCUGA
rnacentral:tRNA from 1 species